rnacentral:rRNA from 1 species
CCUACGGGAGGCAGCAGUGGGGAAUAUUGGACAAUGGGCGCAAGCCUGAUCCAGCCAUGCCGCGUGAGUGAUGAAGGCCUUAGGGUUGUAAAGCUCUUUCGCUAGGGAAGAUAAUGACGGUACCUAGUAAAGAAGCCCCGGCUAACUUCGUGCCAGCAGCCGCGGUAAUACGAAGGGGGCUAGCGUUGUUCGGAAUUACUGGGCGUAAAGCGCACGUAGGCGGAUUGGUCAGUCAGGGGUGAAAUCCCAGAGCUCAACUCUGGAACUGCCUUUGAUACUGCCAAUCUUGAGUCCGGAAGAGGUGAGUGGAACUCCGAGUGUAGAGGUGGAAUUCGUAGAUAUUCGGAAGAACACCAGUGGCGAAGGCGGCUCACUGGUCCGGCACUGACGCUGAGGUGCGAAAGCGUGGGGAGCAAACAGGAUUAGAUACCCUAGUAGUC